AAAGCACUGUUGGCCAAUAGGGAAGCAAGAUAGGGGGGACUAGGAGAGAAGGAGGAUUCUGGGAAAUGUAGUAAAGGGAGGAGUCGCCAUGUGAUCCUAGCAAGAGAGGACUCAUGCCACCAUUGUCCUUGAUAAGGGUAAAAUUUGCCAUUGUUUCAUGCCUGCUGCACACUACACAGUGGUACCUUGGUGAGGACUCCACUCACAAAUCAAGGGAGCAAGAGUGAGCCUGUUCGCAUGUGAGCUCCCAUGAAAGAUCUGUGAAGACCCCACGGAACUGUGUAAAUCUCAAGAGGAUGACAGCCAGACUGAGACAGUACAACACCACUUGCUCUACAUGCUUCCCAUAGCCUUAUGUGUUAGAUGUGGUUAGGCUGGACCAUAAACUGGGCCCCAAAUGGCACCUCAGUUUGCUAUAUGAUGCUGGCUGUCUCUGAACGAGACCUUGACCCUGAGACUUCCAUCACUCACUGAAUGAUUCGGAUUCUUCCUGGUGGAAAGCACCCUUGCCAUCUGUUUUGUAACACUGGCUCACCUAUCAGCUGUGAGUUAACUCUACAGAUAAGUCGUGGAGAAUUGGUACAUUUGAGAUGGGUCCACGAGAGAUCACAAGGGAAUGUUCCAGAAUACCCAUGCCUUGCUAUUCUUUUCACCUGAAUUCUUCAGGUAUUAGCUGUGUAGGGCCUUUACAGUGAAGGGCUUUUGGACAGGCAAGCACCAACACAGUUGUAAAACCAGGACUAGCGAUGUCUGUGCAGCCUCCCUAUCUUCCAGGGUGAUGUAGAGUUCAAACACAACCCAGAGAAGGCCCUCUGAAAACCACACUGUUCCAUGAAGCCCAGGGUCUGUGGUUAGCAGUGUGUACCCAGGUGAAAGGGCAUAGUGCUGUCAAAGGAGGAAGCUGUGGUAAGUGACUCAGAGCAGCUUCCGUGACUUCUGCCUGAAUCACAGUGUGUUUUGCAGCCCAGCUCUCACCUCUACAGGUCCUCCCGUUUUCCUUCUCUCUCUUCAGCUGCUGGUGCCCUUUCCAGAAAGCUGAUGUAUGGAGCUCACUCACUUAUAGUAUUCUGUGUCUGUACCACUGACCAGAGUUCAAGUGGCCUCCAGAGGCUAAAUUUAAUCUGGCUGGACCCAACUCCACAUGACAGGGAACAAGACAGAUUACAUUGAUGGGUGGUAGGUCUCUGGUUGCUAGGGUUAUUCAGAGCAGGUCAGUCAGCUAGCCACUUCUCUUGUAAAAAGCAGACUUGGAAAAAGUUUGGUCUUUUGCAUUUUACAGCAUUGGUACCUCUUGGCUGCUCAGAAUGGUUACGAAGGAUGGCCAAUGGGGUUUCAUCGCCAAGUAGGAGCAACUAUAUUUUAGAAUUACCUUGUAGAGCCCUGUUGAAGAUGCUGAUCCUGGAUCCUGACUUAGCAGUAAAGAGCCCCCUGCCUGUUCAUUACACUUCCAGUGAGGUGGGAAGGCUGAUAGAAUAAUUACAUAUUUAUUAUCCUGAAAACAAAAGAAGAACUUAGGGGAAAUGGCUGUCUGCAUUUGUGGCUCCUUUAAAUAAGGUCUCAUCGUGAUGGUCUGAGGUUAAUAGACAAAACCAAAGGGUGAGACAAGACUUCAAGAUAUGAGAGAAAAAGCAAAUGCGUUUCUACAGAACCUGGAAUUAUCCAGCACUUCAGAAAAAGGCCCCAUCCAAACCCCAGGGGUGCCCCCUGCUGGAAAAGGCAUAGAAAUGACCUUUCUGAGAUACUGGAGUGUGGUGGAGUGGAGCUUGCAGAUGGACUUAGGAUAUCGUACUGGAAGGGACACAGAUGGCCUAGAACCCUCCAUUUGUCAAGUGAGGAAGCUGGAGCCGAAUCGGGGAAAUAACAUGAACAGGAUACAAGGAUCUGUUGGAAGCUGACCACAGAAGACAAGAACGAUUUCUAAAAGCUUAUGAGAUACACUCACUCCUCAGGAGAAAUGGGAGCAAAAAGAGCAAUGACGAGAGUCUAAGAACUUAUGCCCUUUACAGACCUAAAUCAAAACUGAGCAUUAAAUACGCUGUGAAAUGAAUGAAGAGGCCAUGUGGGAAGGACAUAGGACACGUGGAUUCAUUACCAAUCUAAGAUGGUACUUCCAUAGAUAGAAAAUAAAAUCUGCCUUAUAUGUUAGUAUUCUAGUGUGUGUGUGUG
ensembl:lncRNA